GGAUCGGUAGUUCAGUUGGUUAGAAUGCCGCCCUGUCACGGCGGAGGUCGCGGGUUCGAGUCCCGUCCGGUCCGCGA
rnacentral:tRNA from 5 species